ensembl:lncRNA
GGAAAAUGUGAACUGUACUGGAUGUCUGUGUAUUGGACUGCUUCUGCCUAGCCCCCUAUUUCCUCUGCAUGGAAUAUGUUUGAAUUAAUCCUACUUUCAGAGGAGGCACCUCAAUUCCUACCCCUCUGUUCAGAACACCUUAGCCAUGGUUAGUGCUGUUGCCGUCUCUUUUUUCACCUUUUUGACUUGUCAAAAUAACAGUGGGAAGGGAAGAGAGGGUAAUGAAUCUUUACAGCUGUGUUUCUAACUACUCCUGGGAUGUGAUGUCUCAUUUUCUUCAUGCACAACUAAAUGGAGCACUAGCUCUGUGAGCUUUGCAAACCGGAGUUGCUCCCUGGAGUGCUUUCUUGAGAAGUUUCAGGACUGUUUGGGUAGUUUAUCAAACAGUAUCUAUUAGGAUAUGACUUACUAAAGCUUUCGAGACUAUUCCAUAGGGAGAUGUGCAGAGAUAUCUUUUAAGGAUCACAGGAAAUAGAUGGAGAUGGGGAAUUAGGCUUCAGAUAAUCAUCUUCAUAAGGUACGAUGUGAGUAGUUCUGGUCAGGCAGCUCCUCUAAGAACGAAAGUGUCUAUUGCUCAUCCGCAGGCAUGCUGUUGUGAAGUGCCUCCCCUGCUCUGCCUUCAUCUUUACACUGUAACUCCGUGCUAUGCCUGAAGUCUGCUUUUUCAUAAAAGUUAAAAAGCUUGGAAUCCGUCUGAACAACUUGUUUUUCGUUUUGUUUUGGGUUUUUUUGUUUUGUUUUGUUUUGUCUUGAGGCUUCUUUUGUAACAGCUUUAUCUGUGUUAGAUUCUUCAGUAGGUGUUCGUAUUACAGGUCACAAAUGAUGGCAGUAGCAGAGCCCUCAGUUAGUCCUGCCCUUUCCAGACCAAGUGGCUGCUCAGAUGUCAGCAGCUGAUCUGUGAUGGCUGCUGCUGUUCUGUGGCUGAGGGAGUUCCACAGACUGAACGCUGUUCACGUCCUUUGGUGACUUUGCCUAGCAGCGCCGUCAGCUUGUGUGAGGGGUGUUGGUGCGGAGGGCAGGGCAGAAGUCUGCAAAGUGGAGAGGUUCCAUAUUGCUGAGAUGGCUCUCUGACAUUUUCUGGUAUCUUUGACUCUAGAGCAAUUCUGUUUCUAUGACCAAAUCUAUCGCACGUGCUUUGAAGAUUCAGAUGUCUGCAACUAGAACAGAAGGAAUACAUCAGACAAUUCUUUUUAAGUUAUUCUUUUGGUUUUCUUACUCCAAACCAUUCCUCUGCCAAAACAAAAGAGAUUUAGUUUAAGAUUUCCGAAUUGGAUCAUUUGGAAUAUCGGAGAGUGUCUCUGCUUUCCUGUUGGCACACUGAUGGACGCAGAGAUGCACGCAGAGAUGUUUUGCUCUUGGAGCUCCUGGUUUCACACUGAGAGCAGACUGCAGCUGCUGCUCCCUGGCCCAAAGGAGCCCUGGAGCCUCAAGCUUUGCCAGAUGUAGCAGCAGCUGUUUGCUCGAGGAUAAAGGCCCGUUCUUACUGUCGGCCCCGCUGGCGCUGCAGGUCUCCUUUGGCACGUGUUGGUCAUUGCUUCCCCGCCGGGGCUUUGCUGGGGCUGGUUCUGCCCGCAGGGCCCCGGGGCAGGAGGUGCUGUGCCCGCAGCCAUGCAGGGGAGCGGGGCUGGAACUGCACUGCGGCGGGAGCGUUUGCCUCAGAGAAAUCAGCCCUUUUGGUACCAAAAGUAAUUUUAUAAUGAAUUAGUUUAAAGUUAUUUGACAGCCAUGUGCCUGUAUAUCGUAUUUUGGUAAAAACAGAUAUUUUACUUAAAAUAGAGAGAGAUAUAUGAAUAAAAGUUUUGGAGCAAAUAGCCUUUUUUUGCAAAGGAUCUGUAAAUUGCCAAAGCAAUGUAAUGCCAGAGAGUUCUCUGCCCAUGUUGUUGGUGUCUGUGGGAGGAAAGAAGUGUGUUUGUAUUGCUGCUGGAAUUGUCGGGGAAAGCGAAAGCUGAGAUGGAAGUGAGAAUCGGUACUACUCCAUUCCGCGACGAACACCUUCGUUACCACUGAUUUGUACUGGCAAUGACAAUAAACGCACGACGCACGGCCUGCUCGCUGCUGCCAUC